AAUACGCUGGCGGCAGGCUAACACUGCAGCUGUAACGGUACAGGAUGUGCUUGCACAUCGCUGACGAGUGGCGGACGGGUGAGUAAUGCUUAGGGAUCUGCCUCUGUGUGGGGGAUAACUAUUGGAAACGAUAGCUAAUACCGCAUAAUGUUUACGGACCAAAGGGGGCGUUUGCUCCCGCGCAGAGAGGAACCUAAGUGAGAUUAGCUAGUUGGUAAGGUAAUGGCUUACCAAGGCGACAAUCUCUAGCUGUUCUGAGAGGAAGAUCAGCCACACUGGGACUGAGACACGGCCCAGACUCCUACGGGAGGCAGCAGUGGGGAAUAUUGCACAAUGGGGGGAACCCUGAUGCAGCCAUGCCGCGUGUGUGAAGAAGGCCUUCGGGUUGUAAAGCACUUUCAGUUGUGAGGAAAGGUUAGUAGUUAAUACCUGCUAGCUGUGACGUUAGCAACAGAAGAAGCACCUGGCUAACUCCGUGCCAGCAGCCGCGGUAAUACGGAGGGUGCGAGCGUUAAUCGGAAUUACUGGGCGUAAAGCGCACGCAAGGCGGUUCUGUAUAACGCUAGAUGUGAAAGCCCCGAGCUCAACUUGGGAUGGUCAUUUAACGAACUGGCAGACCUAAAGUCUUGGACAGGGGAGUGGAAAUUCUAGUGUAGCG
rnacentral:rRNA from 1 species